rnacentral:misc_RNA from 1 species
GAUGAAGAACGUAGUGAAAUGCGAUAAGUAAUGUGAAUUGCAGAAUUCAGUGAAUCAUCGAAUCUUUGAACGCACAUUGCGCCCCUUGGUAUUCCGAGGGGCAUGCCUGUUCGAGCGUCAUUAUAACCCCUCAAGCUUAGCUUGGUGUUGGGGCCUGCUGUAAUAGAGCAGCCCUUAAAAUCAGUGGCGGUGCCAUUAGGCUCUAAGCGUAGUAAUUCUUCUCGCUAUAGGGUUCUGGUGGAUGCUUGCCAUUAACCUCUAAUUUUCUAUGGUUGACCUCGGAUCAGGUAGGGAUACCCGCUGAACUUAAGCAUAUCAAUAAGCGGAGGA